rnacentral:lncRNA from 1 species
UGAGCACUGGUCACUUUCCACUCAAGGUGUUCGUGCCGUGGAAGCACAUAAGCAUCUCCUGUCGUCCACAUAGAUACUAACAGCUGUGUGCCGGGCAUGAUGCCGAGGACUUACAGCCAUCUCCCGUGUAACCUCACAACGACCCUGCAAAGCUGGUGCUUGUAGGAAAGGGGAUGAGCUGGGUUGUGCUGCAGUGACAAACAGCCCCGUCAUCUCAGAGGUUUAAAGCCACAGCGGGUUCAUUUUUGCUUUUGCAGAGUCUGCUGUGGUUCUGGGCCAUUGUCCACAAUGGCUGUGGUGUGGGGGCCCAGGAGUACAUCCCCACAUCGCCCAUGCUCACCUUCGUUGGUGAGAGCAAGUCACAGGGCCCCCUGGGCCUUCACGGGAGCAGGAGGUGCUGCUCAGGCGGGCCAGCGGGAAUACGGGAGCAGCACAGCUGGGGGCCGUGGGAACAGCACUGUUCUUCCCACUUUACAGAUGAGGGAAAGCCCACAGCUCAGAGAGCACAUGACUACCCAGAUGACAGUGCAGACCAGGACGCCCUCUUCAUGAGUACCUCCCCAAGUCCAGGGCAACUGUCCUGCCUACUUUGGGAUUUAGAAGAACCCUCUGUGCUCCUCCUCAGGUGGGAUUUCCUCCUGGGAGGAGGGGUCGAAAGCGUUCUGCCCACUCAGAGCCGCAACCCUCUGCCUCUAGAUCAUGCUGCAAGGCCCUGUGGCACCCCGGAUUCCCGGCCCCCAAACCCUGAGCCUCUUCCAGAGCCUGCGUGUGCCCGCGGGUGGAUCUGCCAAAGGGUAGACAAAGCCACAGACGUGCACCAUCCAGGCCCAAAGGAUCCGAGGAGCAGCUGGCGACUCAGUGUGAACAUGCAGCUGCGGCAUCCACAACGUGACCAUGUGGCCCCUUGGUAGCAAGAAACAUGGUGGAGGGGCCCAUGGACCAUUUUCCAUUCUAACUGCCACCUGGGGCCCACAAGUAUCAGGGGCCUGGGGUGGAGGCAGAAGCAGAUGGCUUCCUCGAGUCCAGCUCAGCAUCCUCCUCUGAGGACAGCAACAGGAGCGCCUUUUCCGGGAGAGAAUGAGGAUGAACUAAGGAACGCGCAGCGCUUUGUGGUCAGCUGACAGGCGCAGUUCCAAGUACAGAGGAUUCGCGCUGAAGCUGGCUUGUCGGCCUUGAGGCCCCUCCAGAAGUCUUCGGGAGGCCCGUUGGCUUGCUGGUGGCUCGACCCACAAGGACAAAGACAGAAGACUGGGGGUACAAGCAACAACAUCAAAAUGCGCCAGCUCGGGGCGGCCAAAGAGAGCGGCACUGAGGUCCCAGCGAUCUGCCGCAGGUGGCUCCUCGGCGGGCUCAGGUGGAAGGAAGCCGGGUGGUGACAACGCAGGAGGGACCAACCUUCUCCAAACAGAGAGGCCACGGGACCUGGGGAAAGCCGCCAUGCGUGUGGAGGCUGCACCAACUGGUCACCAUGGACCCCACCAGGGGAAGUGAGCAAGUCAUGCGCAGGCCGCAGUGCCCAGGUUAGACCACGGCACCUGCUCCAGGUCACCGUGUUUCGGCGGCAGAGGGCUCCAGCUUCAACGGGCCUCGAAUCAAAUCCGCGCUCCGCCACUCACGAACUGAGUUCCCUUGGGCAACUGACCUUCCCUGUGCCUCGAUUCACACAACAAUAUAAUGUUCAUAACUCUAGUACCUACCUCAUAGGCUGACGUGAGGAUUAAGUGAUGAUGAGCAUUUAAUGCAAGAUUUCGUUUAAUAUUUUAACAGUUCUCAGACAUAGACAGUCUUCGUUAAACAUCGGCUAUUGUUAAUAUUAUUGUGUCCAUCUUAUCCUUGUGUCUUAUGGUAAAAAGCCAGGUACUUUUGUAUUAACUUGGAAGAGAAAACUCACUUAGUAGAGAUAGUUAUUGUAUCUCUUAUCUCUGCUCUUAGAUUGCAGUCUGUUUAAGGACAGUGGCUGUGUCUUAAUUUUUGUUUGUUGACUAGAAAUGAGGUCGCACUUGUGAUAAAUCUGGAGGUUGAACAGAACUGGAAAU